rnacentral:rRNA from 1 species
GAUGAACGCUGGCGGCGUGCUUAACACAUGCAAGUCGAACGGUGAAGCGCCUUCCUUUUUGGUGGGUGUGGAUGAGCGGCGGACGGGGGAGUAACACGUUAGUAUCCUGCCCACUUUUUCUGGAUAACCGCAUGAAAGUGUGGCUACCACGGAAUAUUCUGGAUCUGUCGCAUGAUGGGUCUGGGAAAGUUUUUGUUUCGGUGGGGGAUGGGCUCGCGGCGUAUUAGCUUGUUGGUAGGGUGAUGGCUUACCAAGGCGGCGAUGAGUAGCCGGCCUGAGAGGGGGGUGGGCGGUCACACGGGUGAGACACGGCGCAGAAGCCUACGAGGGGAGGCAGCAGGGGAGAAUACGGCACGGGGGGAGGAAGGAUGGAGCAGCGACGCGGCGGGGAUGAUGGAGUCCGGAUGGUAGAGAACCUCUUUCGGGAGUGAAGCAGUGCUGAAGUGUCUGUGGGUGGGUUGACGGUACCUGGACAAAAAGCGCCGGCUAACUACGUG